rnacentral:tRNA from 1 species
GACCUCUUAGUCAAGCGGUUAAGACUUCGCCCUUUCACGGCGAAGGCACGGGUUCGAAUCCCGUAGAGGUCG